rnacentral:lncRNA from 1 species
CCUUCCAGCUCCAGGUCUUUGAGGAGGAGAAGAGGAUGAAGACCAGGCUCUAGUGCUAUGUAGGAGAUACUCAUCUCCCAAGCAAUAACUGCUUGGGGCAGCACCACCACAAGAACACAAGCAAGACAUGUUGCCAUCAUGCCCAGAAGCCAGGCUGCACCACAGGCAUGACUAAGGCAAUCGCAAGGUGGGAAUGGAAAGGCAGAAGCAGGCUUUACACCAUGGGCUAUGUUAAAAUCAGUCCAAGUCCCAGCUUGCUCUCAUUGUGGUGUGGGAGUGAGCUGGGACUAGCUUUCCCUGGACAGGGCUUGACUGUCCCAGAGCAUCCUGGGGGGAAACAGAGUGAUAUUUUAAUAAGCUAGGUAUUAUUUUACAUCCCCAGCCCGCUCCUUGAGACUGAUGCUGGGCAGUGAGGCUGAAAAUUAAUCACUUACAGGGUUUUCAUCUUGUUUCAUUAUUUCUUCCUUUUUCUUCUUUUUGUUUUGAUUCCCAUCUCAGCUGCACUAAACUUUAAGUCAACAGAAUGUGGGAUACACAACAGGGAGUCUGCCAGCUACCUUCUGUACUCCUCCACUUCACCAGCCCCAGCGCUCCAGGUCAGCAUGAAGGUUUGCUACACGUAGCCAAGAACCUGUGGAGAAAACAAAGGUCUCUGGACAAGCAGGGAAAUACAGCAGCCCAGAGAGUGGCCACAGACAUGCUGAGCAGCAGAUAUGAUGAGGAAGGGCUUUCGUGUGCUGCAAGUGCACACUAACACACCAACAGCUGUUACUGCUGCUUUUCCACCAGCAGUUUGGCAUUAACCAUGUGUCAAGAUAAAACCAAUUUCUCUUGGAUGAAGCCUGGCAUGUACCUGACCCAUUUCGUCAAGCUUCUCUGCCUCUACCCAAACAUUUUUGGGUAGAAGGCCAUUUGGUUGGGUUUUAGACUUGCUGGCACCACAGAGACACAAUGGUCCCUCAUACCUGUGUCUGAGCAUCCUCUAUGGGCAAAGAUGGGCAUUGCUUAUUCCCACAUGUGCAUGGGCAUACUUCAGUGAGAACUCAGCUAGCCUUGACAGAAACACUGACUGCCACCCAAGCCUGUAGUACAGCCAUAUCUUUGUUCUGUUCAGGUUUAACAUAAUAAAGAUACUUGCUCAGGUAUCUAGGAGCCA